rnacentral:rRNA from 1 species
AGGUAACGGCUCACCAAGGCGACGAUCCGUAGCUGGUCUGAGAGGAUGAUCAGCCACAUCGGGACUGAGACACGGCCCGAACUCCUACGGGAGGCAGCAGUGGGGAAUAUUGGACAAUGGGGGCAACCCUGAUCCAGCCAUGCCGCGUGUGUGAAGAAGGCCCUCGGGUUGUAAAGCACUUUCAGCGAGGAAGAACGCCUAGUGGUUAAUACCCAUUAGGAAAGACAUCACUCGCAGAAGAAGCACCGGCUAACUCCGUGCCAGCAGCCGCGGUAAUACGGAGGGUGCAAGCGUUAAUCGGAAUUACUGGGCGUAAAGCGCGCGUAGGUGGCUUGAUAAGCCGGUUGUGAAAGCCCCGGGCUCAACCUGGGAACGGCAUCCGGAACUGUCAGGCUAGAGUGCAGGAGAGGAAGGUAGAAUUCCCGGUGUAGCGGUGAAAUGCGUAGAGAUCGGGAGGAAUACCAGUGGCGAAGGCGGCCUUCUGGACUGACACUGACACUGAGGUGCGAAAGCGUGGGUAGCAAACAGGAUUAGAUACCCUGGUAGUCCACGCCGUAAACGAUGUCGACCAGCCGUUGGGUGCCUAGAGCACUUUGUGGCGAAGUUAACGCGAUAAGUCGACCGCCUGGGGAGUACGGCCGCAAGGUUAAAACUCAAAUGAAUUGACGGGGGCCCGCACAAGCGGUGGAGCAUGUGGUUUAAUUCGAUGCAACGCGAAGAACCUUACCUACCCUUGACAUCUACAGAAGCCGGAAGAGAUUCUGGUGUGCCUUCGGGAACUGUAAGACAGGUGCUGCAUGGCUGUCGUCAGCUCGUGUUGUGAAAUGUUGGGUUAAGUCCCGUAACGAGCGCAACCCUUGUCCUUAUUUGCCAGCGAGUAAUGUCGGGAACUCUAAGGAGACUGCCGGUGACAAACCGGAGGAAGGUGGGGACGACGUCAAGUCAUCAUGGCCCUUACGGGUAGGGCUACACACGUGCUACAAUGGCCGGUACAAAGGGCUGCGAGCUCGCGAGAGUUAGCGAAUCCCUUAAAGCCGGUCUCAGUCCGGAUCGGAGUCUGCAACUCGACUCCGUGAAGUCGGAAUCGCUAGUAAUCGUGAAUCAGAAUGUCACGGUGAAUACGUUCCCGGGCCUUGUACACACCGCCCGUCACACCAUGGGAGUGGACUGCACCAGAAGUGGUUAGCCUAACGCAAGAGGGCGAUCACCACGGUGUGGUUCAUGACUGGGG